rnacentral:lncRNA from 1 species
GUGAAUAAUUAUAUGACCUAUAGUAAGUAUGUUCUUUGCAAUAUUUGGGUCAUACUAAAAUAUUAUUUCUUGUUUUUCUGACAUUGAAGUUUAAUUGGAUGUAUUUUAUCUGGGAAAUUUAAUUGUAAAUGUUCAAAUUUAACUGGGCAUAUUUCAUCUGUCAACCCUAUUUGUGAAUAUCAGAUAAAGAGGUGUAGCUUUCCCCAGAGACCUGUUUUUUUUUUUCUAAUAUUUGAUGGGGAAGGUCUGGAAGACAUCUAGCUUGUAAACAACGCUAAACUCUGUUAAGUCUCUUCAGUUGUAAAGAAAAUUUGAACUGAGAUUAAUUUAAAAAAAGGAAAAUAAUAUCAACAGCUAAUAUUUAUUCAGUACUUACUCAAGAGAGAAACUAUCCUUGAAUUUUUUCAUUAACUCUACAUGACAAUUGUUAUAAUUCUUGCUUUCCAAUGGGGAACUUUAGGUACUUGAGGCUUCAAGACUGCAGAGUUUAUAAGUGGUGGAGCUGAGGUUUAAAACACCAGCUGUUUAUGACAGACUUCUACCACUAUCAAAGCUUAGUCACUACUAUGUACCUCCUCUUUACUGUGUAUUUCAAAAUAUAAAAAUUUUUUCAAAUAUAACUGAGUAAACUGUAUUUUAUUUAGAGAAUUAGUUUCAUUUUGGUUUUAUUUUUUGAGAUUUUUUUCUUUCAAUAUUGAAUUUAUAAGAGUCAGGUUAGCACAUAAUGGUGUUUUGUUAGCAAAUCCUUGGCAGGAAUAGACAUGUGACUAUGUGUUUAGAAGCCUUAAGAAAAAUAACCAAUUCAUCUUUUCACUAACUUAAUGGAAAAAACAAACUUCCAAGUCAUCCCAAAUGGAGUUUCUUUUUAAAAGAAAGAACAAGGGUUGCUGUAUCAUUGGAUCCUGGAUGACUAGGUCUACAUCAUCACCUACCAGAUGCAACUGGGGCCUGAGAGGCAUUGCUACUGACAUUUCGGAGAGACCUGUGAUCACUGUAGCCACCUGGUAUCUAGAAGAUUUCCAUGCAAGUUCUAAACAUGAAUCUUUUUCAUCAUGCUGA